rnacentral:rRNA from 1 species
UACGUAGGUGGCAAGCGUUGUCCGGAUUUACUGGGCGUAAAGAGCGCGCAGGCGGUCGAUCAAGUCGAGUGUGAAAGCCCCCGGCUCAACUGGGGGGGGUCAUUCGAUACUGAUCGACUCGAAGGCAGGAGAGGGUAGUGGAAUUCCCGGUGUAGUGGUGAAAUGCGUAGAUAUCGGGAGGAACACCAGUGGCGAAGGCGACUACCUGGCCUGUUCUUGACGCUGAGGCGCGAAAGCUAGGGGAGCAAACGGG